UUUGAUGAACGUAAGUCCCUGGGAGCUUUUAGCUUCCAUAACGUACUGAGAAAAUACAUAUUUAACUUUCAAAAUAUCUUAAAAAACCUUAACAAAAGCUUUACACCCAGACCGAAAAACAAUUUACAAAAUAGUUUUAGCCUCCGGUUUAAAGCCGAUAUUGACUUUACAGUGUAAACAGAUAUUGGGUUUCCAUUAUAGUAUUUCGCAAUAUUGCAUCAGCCGGUUACGACUAGUUUUAUCAAUACACAUAACAUUCUUUACUGUUUUAAGUAUUAUAACGAAAAAAGUGGAAUUUAAACAACUGAAAUGUAUUCAAGAAUUCUACAAAGAUAUUAUUAGCCAGACGAAUUACAACGUGAAAAAUCCAAGACUUUAUAAAGACAACGAACGUUUAACACAAAAUAUAUCAUCGGAAGACUUCAAGAAAAGAAUGUUAACCAUAGCAUGGUUGAAUAUCAUAAUACUUUCAUGUUGUUAGAAUCACUCAACCGUAGGAGUAUGCCAUACUCAUACGCAUGGUUGAAUAUCAUAAUACUUUCAUGUUGUGAGAAUUACUCAACCAUAGGAUUAUACCAUAAUCAUACGCAUGGUUUAAUGUUAUGAUAUUUUGAUGUUGUUGAAAUCACUCAACCGUUUGAGUAUGCCAUAGGCAUAUGCAUGAUUGAAUAUCAUAAUACUUUUAUGUUAUGAAAAUCACUCAACCGUUUGAGUAUACCAUAGGCAUAUGCAUGAUUGAAUUAUUUAUUAUGUUUUACAUUGUUUACUCUCAGUGUUUUAUACAAUAAAUCAUAAAUGUUUAUACCAUUUUGUAACAUUUUUAUGAAAAAUAAACAAUAAUAACCACAAAAUGUGUUUGUUUUGUCUUGAUAUUGUAUGUUAUUAUACUUAACCCCAGGUAUAUAUAUCAAUCACUGUCCUUUGGUUCAUCCGAUAUAUAGAAUUUGAUGUAACUAUCCGCCAAAAGCGAAAAUGUUACUUCUGUAGAUGCUGAAUCGUCAUAAGGAUGAAUGUCAAUCACUGUCUCUCGUUUUAGAUAAAUUUUAAUUUUUUUCUUAUACAUAGAUAUUAACUGAUCAGUGUCAAAGUCCUCAGCUGUUAUAUUUACAUUAUCAAAUACAUCAUAUAUACCAAG